rnacentral:rRNA from 1 species
AGAGUUUGAUCCUGGCUCAGGAUGAACGCUAGCGGCAGGCCUAACACAUGCAAGUCGAGGGGCAGCACGUGAAGUAGUUNNUGGUGGCGACCGGCGGACGGGUGCGUAACGCGUAUGCAACCUACCUUUUACGAGGGGAUAAUUCGGGGAAACCUGGUGUAAUACCCUAUAACAUCACUGGAGGCAUCUUUAGUGGUUGAAAGUUCAGGCGGUAAAAGAUGGGCAUGCGUUGUAUUAGAUAGUUGGUGCGGUAACGGCGCACCAAGUCUACGAUACAUAGGGGGACUGAGAGGUUAACCCCCCACACUGGUACUGAGACACGGACCAGACUCCUACGGGAGGCAGCAGUGAGGAAUAUUGGUCAAGAACCAGCCAUGCCGCGUGCAGGAAGACGGCUCUAUGAGUUGUAAACUGCUUUUGUACGAGGGUAAUUGCAUCUACGUGUAGAUGUUUGAAAGUAUCGUACGAAUAAGGAUCGGCUAACUCCGUGCCAGCAGCCGCGGUAAUACGGAGGAUCCGAGCGUUAUCCGGAUUUAUUGGGUUUAAAGAAGGGUGCGUAGGCGGUUUGUUAAGUUAGAGGUGAAAUCCCGUGGCUCAACCACGGAACUGCCUCUGAUACUGGCAGGCUAGAGAAUGGUUGCUGUGGGCGGAAUGUGUGGUGUAGCGGUGAAAUGCUUAGAGAUCACACAGAACACCGAUUGCGAAGGCAGCUCACAAAGCCUGGUCUGACGCUGAGGCACGAAAGCGUGGGGAUCAAACAGGAUUAGAUACCCUGGUAGUCCACGCCGUAAACGAUGAUAACUCGUUGCCGGCGAUAUAAUGUCGGUGACUUAGCGAAAGCGAUAAGUUAUCCACCUGGGGAGUACGUUCGCAAGAAUGAAACUCAAAGGAAUUGACGGGGGCCCGCACAAGCGGAGGAACAUGUG